rnacentral:rRNA from 1 species
CGAACGGGUGAGUAAUGCGUCGGAACGUACCGAGUAAUGGGGGAUAACGCUCCGAAAGGUGUGCUAAUACCGCAUACGCCCUCCGGGGGAAAGCAGGGGAUCGUAAGACCUUGCGUUAUUCGAGCGGCCGACGUCUGAUUAGCUAGUUGGUGAGGUAAUGGCUCACCAAGGCGACGAUCAGUAGCGGGUCUGAGAGGAUGAUCCGCCACACUGGAACUGAGACACGGUCCAGACUCC